UGCGGAAGUGGCGAAAUUGGCAGACGCACCAGACUUAGGAUCUGGCGGGGCAACCCGUGGGGGUUCAAGUCCCCCCUUCCGCACCAC
rnacentral:tRNA from 1 species